rnacentral:rRNA from 1 species
GAUGAACGCUGGCGGCGUGCUUAACACAUGCAAGUCGAACGGAAAGGCCCAAGCUUGCUUGGGUACUCGAGUGGCGAACGGGUGAGUAACACGUGGGUGAUCUGCCCUGCACUUCGGGAUAAGCCUGGGAAACUGGGUCUAAUACCGGAUAGGACCACUUCUUGGAUGUUGUGGUGGAAAGUUUUUUCGGUGUGGGAUGAGCUCGCGGCCUAUCAGCUUGUUGGUGGGGUAAUGGCCUACCAAGGCGUCGACGGGUAGCCGGCCUGAGAGGGUGUACGGCCACAUUGGGACUGAGAUACGGCCCAGACUCCUACGGGAGGCAGCAGUGGGGAAUAUUGCACAAUGGGCGCAAGCCGGAUGCAGCGACGCCGCGGGGGGGAGGACGGCCUUCGGGUUGUAAACGCCUUUCGCUAGGGACGAAGCGUUUUGUGACGGUACCUGGAGAAGAAGCACCGGCUAACUACGUG